CGCCAUCUCAAGCCGUCACAUGAUCGGUCCCUCGUGUCACCUGACUCUUCUUAAAGGGGCCUAGCCCUCAGUUCGGAACCUCUAAUUAACCGAACUUUCCGCAGAUUUCAGCACAGUGUACAGAAGUUCAAAGGUGGAUGAUGUAAAGUCCUGAACGUACAUCGAGCCUUCCAGAGUUUGGCCAUUGCUCUUGGGUGUUGACGGACAUCUUUGGAUGUCUUCUUUUGUGCGUUGAAGAGUUCAGCAAGGUGGUCCCGCAGGCGUAAUUCCAUUUCAAGUCCACCCAGAUUUCGGUUAAAACUAAG